rnacentral:rRNA from 1 species
UACGUAGGGGGCGAGCGUUGUCCGGAUUCAUUGGGCGUAAAGCGCGCGCAGGCGGUGGCGUGAGCCCGGCGUGAAAAGCCCCCAGCUCAACUGGGGGAGGCCGUCGGAGACCGCGGCACUUGAGGCCGGUAGGGGAGAGCGGAAUUCCCGGUGUAGUGGUGGAAUGCGUAGAUAUCAGGAGGAACACCGGUGGCGAAGGCGGGGUCUCUGGGGCCGAUACUGACGCUGAGGAGCGAAAGCGUGGGGAGCGAACAGG